CACGGAGGAGGAGGUCAGAAGCCUAACGAGUUAUGGAAAAGAAAAGACAAAGCAUAUUAGUGUAAAUAUUCACUGGCAGUCAAGACUAUUCCAGCUGGAGGGGAAAGUGUACUGAUGCUGGCAAGACACCACAUCGCUGAGGUUGAUGGGGUGAAACGGCCACAUCCACGUCGACAUCGUUGUUGAACCUGUGAGGAUUCGGCACUAAGAGGGUCUGUUGUGAAUCAUUUCCUUACCUCAUGGCCAGAGUGCAGGACUGGAAAUGGGAUCCAUGGACAAAGGCAGAGCUCACCUAGGGGCUGCUUUGACCUCCUGAAGAAGAGAAGCAGCACUCCGUCCUGUUGCUUGGCCCAGGGUUGCCCCCAGCCAGCUCUAUCUUGGAAACCCCAGUGUGAUUCCUAUCAGAAAUCCAACAAUCAUAACAAUUCCACCACAAAGUAAAAUCUCUUCUCCUUUUUCUUUUUUUUUCAUUUACAUGAAAUAUAAAAGGGUAAUAAUGUUAGUAUUCCUU
rnacentral:lncRNA from 1 species